GCGGGAGUAACUAUGACUCUCUUAAGGUAGCCAAAUGCCUCGUCAUCCAAUUAGUGACGCGCAUGAAUGGAUUCGUGAGAUUCCCACUGUCCCUAUCUACUGUCUAGCGAAACCACAGCCAAGGGAACGGGCUUGGAAGAAUCAGCGGGGAAAGAAGACCCUGUUGAGCUUGACUCUAGUCUGUUGCGCGGGACGACUUGAGAGGUGUAGAAUAAGUGGGAGGGCGACCGCCAGUGAAAUACCACUACUUUCAACGUCGUCCCACUUACCCGGUCGGGCGGAGUGGCGCUUGCGCCUCUUCUGGUCUUAAGCUUUUGCGAUCCGCGUCGGGGACACACACAGGUGGGGAGUUUGGCUGGGGCGGCACGUCUGUUAAAAAAUAACGCAGGCGCCCGAUUUUGAGCUCAAUGAGAACAGAAAUCUCAUGUGGACCGAAAGGGGAAAAGCUCGGUUGAUUUUGAUUUUCAGUACGAAUACAAACCGCGAAAGCGUGGCCUAUCGAUCCUUUAGUCUUUGGGAAUUUCAAGCUAGAGGUGUCAGAAAAGUUACCACAGGGAUAACUGGCUUGUGGCUGCCAAGCGUUCAUAGCGACGUAGCUUUUUGAUCCUUCGAUGUCGGCUCUUCCUAUCACUGCCUCGCAGCGGGGGCCAAAUGCAGGAUUGUUCACCCACCAAUAGGGAACGUGAGCUGGGUUUAGACCGUCGUGAGACAGGUUAGUUUUACCCUACUGCUGCUCGUUUUUCAACGGUAAUUUGGUUCAGUACGAGAGGAACCACCAAUUCGCACCAUCGGUAUAGCCGCCGCCCGAUAGGGCGAUGCGGCGAAGCUGCCAUGCGCCGGAUUACAACUGAACGCCUCUAAGUUGGAAUCCAUGCCGGACGCGAAAAGCCUUCU
rnacentral:rRNA from 1 species